rnacentral:rRNA from 1 species
UACGUAGGUGGCAAGCGUUGUCCGGAAUUAUUGGGCGUAAAGCGCGCGCAGGCGGUCCUUUUAAGUCUGAUGUGAAAGCCCACGGCUCAACCGUGGAGGGUCAUUGGAAACUGGGGGGACUUGAGUGCAGGAGAGAAGAGUGGAAUUCCACGUGUAGCGGUGAAAUGCGUAGAGAUGUGGAGGAACACCAGUGGCGAAGGCGACUCUUUGGCCUGUAACUGACGCUGAGGCGCGAAAAGCGUGGGGAGCGAACAGG